AUUGAACGCUGGCGGCGUGCCUAAUACAUGCAAGUCGAACGAGUGGCGGACGGGUGAGUAAUCUCUGGGAAACUGGCGGAAGGAGGGGGAUAACUAGUGGAAACGGUAGCUAAUACCGCAUACUAUCGGUUGUGCUCCGAGGGGAUUAGCUGGUUGGUGGGGUAACGGCUCACCAAGGCGACGAUCCCUAGCUGGUCUGAGAGGAUGACCAGCCACACUGGAACUGAGACACGGUCCAGACUCCUACGGGAGGCAGCAGUGGGGAAUAUUGCACAAUGGGCGCAAGCCUGAUGCAGCCAUGCCGCGUGUGUGAAGAAGGCCUUCGGGUUGUAAAGUACUUUCGGCGGGGAGGCGUUACCCUCAGAGGAAGCAACGGCUAACUCCGUGCCAGCAGCCGCGGUAAUUC
rnacentral:rRNA from 1 species